GUGGCAGGCCUACAACGAGUAUGUUGAGGGAACAUGACAAGAGCUUGCUCCUUUGUCGAUGGCGGCGGACGGGUGAGUAACACGUGGAUAACCUACCUAUAAGAAUGGGAUAACUUCGGGAAACCGGAGCUAAUACCGGAUAAUAUAUUGAACCGCAUGGUUCAAUAGUGAAAGGCGGCUUUGCUGUCACUUAUAGAUGGAUCCGCGCCGUAUUAGCUAGUUGGUAAGGUAACGGCUUACCAAGGCAACGAUACGUAGCCGACCUGAGAGGGUGAUCGGCCACACUGGAACUGAGACACGGUCCAGACUCCUACGGGAGGCAGCAGUAGGGAAUCUUCCGCAAUGGGCGAAAGCCUGACGGAGCAACGCCGCGUGAGUGAUGAAGGUCUUCGGAUCGUAAAACUCUGUUAUCAGGGAAGAACAAAUGUGUAAGUAACUGUGCACAUCUUGACGGUACCUGAUCAGAAAGCCACGGCUAAC
rnacentral:rRNA from 1 species